rnacentral:rRNA from 1 species
GACGAACGCUGGCGGCGUGCUUAACACAUGCAAGUCGAGCGGAAAGGCCUUUCGGGGUACUCGAGCGGCGAACGGGUGAGUAACACGUGAGUAAUCUGCCUCUGGCUCUGGGAUAGCCACCGGAAACGGUGAUUAAUACCGGAUAUGACGCUUCACCGCAUGGUGUGGGUGUGGAAAGUUUUUUCGGCCAGGGAUGUGCUCGCGGCCUAUCAGCUUGUUGGUGGGGUAAUGGCCUACCAAGGCUUCGACGGGUAGCCGGCCUGAGAGGGUGACCGGCCACACUGGGACUGAGACACGGCCCAGACUCCUACGGGAGGCAGCAGUGGGGAAUAUUGGACAAUGGGCGGAAGCCUGAUCCAGCAACGCCGCGUGAGGGAUGACGGCCUUCGGGUUGUAAACCUCUUUCAGCACAGACGAAGCGCAAGUGACGGUAUGUGCAGAAGAAGGACCGGCCAACUACGUGCCAGCCGCCGCCGUAACAC